rnacentral:rRNA from 1 species
AUCCAGCAAUGCCGCGUGAGUGAAGAAGGCCUUCGGGUUGUAAAGCUCUUUUGUCAGGGAAGAAACGGUUUCGGAUAAUACCGGGAGCUAAUGACGGUACCUGAAGAAUAAGCACCGGCUAACUACGUGCCAGCAGCCGCGGUAAUACGUAGGGUGCAAGCGUUAAUCGGAAUUACUGGGCGUAAAGCGUGCGCAGGCGGUUUUGUAAGUCUGUUGUGAAAUCCCCGGGCUUAACCUGGGAAUGGCAAUGGAGACUGCAAGGCUAGAGUUUGGCAGAGGGGGGUAGAAUUCCACGUGUAGCAGUGAAAUGCGUAGAGAUGUGGAGGAACACCGAUGGCGAAGGCAGCCCCCUGGGUCAAAACUGACGCUCAUGCACGAAAGCGUGGGGAGCAAACAGGAUUAGAUACCCUGG